rnacentral:rRNA from 1 species
UAGGGAAUCUUCCACAAUGGACGCAAGUCUGAUGGAGCAACGCCGCGUGAGUGAAGAAGGGUUUCGGCUCGUUAAAGCUCUGUUGUUAAAGAAGAACGUGGGUAAGAGUAACUGUUUACCCAGUGACGGUAUUUAACCAGAAAGCCACGGCUAACUACGUGCCAG